rnacentral:rRNA from 1 species
UUACUCGGAAUCACUGGGCGUAAAGGGCGCGUAGGCGGAUUAUCAAGUCUCUUGUGAAAUCUAAUGGCUUAACCAUUAAACUGCUUGGGAAACUGAUAGUCUAGAGUGAGGGAGAGGCAGAUGGAAUUGGUGGUGUAGGGGUAAAAUCCGUAGAUAUCACCAAGAAUACCCAUUGCGAAGGCGAUCUGCUGGAACUCAACUGACGCUAAGGCGCGAAAGCGUGGGGAGCAAACAGGAUUAGAUACCCUGGUAGUCCACGCCCUAAACGAUGUACACUAGUUGUUGGGAUGCUAGUCAUCUCAGUAAUGCAGCUAACGCAUUAAGUGUACCGCCUGGGGAGUACGGUCGCAAGAUUAAAACUCAAAGGAAUAGACGGGGACCCGCACAAGCGGUGGAGCAUGUGGUUUAAUUCGAAGAUACGCGAAGAACCUUACCUGGGCUUGAUAUCCUAAGAACCUUAUAGAGAUAUGAGGGUGCUAGCUUGCUAGAACUUAGAGACAGGUGCUGCACGGCUGUCGUCAGCUCGUGUCGUGAGAUGUUGGGUUAAGUCCCGCAACGAGCGCAACCCACGUAUUUAGUUGCUAACGGUUCGGCCGAGCACUCUAAAUAGACUGCCUUCGUAAGGAGGAGGAAGGUGUGGACGACGUCAAGUCAUCAUGGCCCUUAUGCCCAGGGCGACACACGUGCUACAAUGGCAUAUACAAUGAGACGCAAUACCGCGAGGUGGAGCAAAUCUAUAAAAUAUGUCCCAGUUCGGAUUGUUCUCUGCAACUCGAGAGCAUGAAGCCGGAAUCGCUAGUAAUCGUAGAUCAGCCAUGCUACGGUGAAUACGUUCCCGGGUCUUGUACUCACCGCCCGUCACACCAUGGGAGUUGAUUUCACUCGAAGCCGGAAUACUAA